AACGCGAAGAACCUUACCUGGGCUCGAAGCGCAGUGGAAUCCGGUAGAAAUAUCGGCGCCCCUUAAAAGGCCGCUGCGGAGGUGCUGCAUGGCUGUCGUCAGCUCGUGUCGUGAGAUGUUGGGUUAAGUCCCGCAACGAGCGCAACCCUUAUCCCUAGUUGCCAUCAGGUCAAGCUGGGCACUCUAGUGAAACUGCCUCGGAUAACGAGGAGGAAGGUGGGGAUGACGUCAAGUCCUCAUGGCCUUUAUGUCCAGGGCUACACACGUGCUACAAUGGUCGGUACAAACCGUCGCAAACCCGUGAGGGGGAGCUAAUCGGAAAAAGCCGGCCUCAGUUCGGAUUGGAGUCUGCAACUCGACUCCAUGAAGCUGGAAUCGCUAGUAAUCGCGGAUCAGAACGCCGCGGUGAAUACGUUCCCGGGCCUUGUACACACCGCUAGUC
rnacentral:rRNA from 1 species